CGCCCGGCGGCUUUGGUGAC
rnacentral:miRNA from 1 species